AUUGAACGCUGGCGGCAUGCUUUACACAUGCAAGUCGAACGGUAACAGGCCUUCGGGUGCUGACGAGUGGCGAACGGGUGAGUAAUGCAUCGGAACGUACCCAGAGGUGGGGGAUAACGCAGCGAAAGCUGUGCUAAUACCGCAUGUGAUCUGAGGAUGAAAGCGGGGGACCGAGCAGCAAUGUUUGGCCUCGCGCCUUUGGAGCGGCCGAUGUCGGAUUAGCUAGUUGGUGGGGUAAAGGCCUACCAAGGCGACGAUCCGUAGCUGGUCUGAGAGGACGACCAGCGACACUGGGACUGAGACACGGCCCAGACUCCUACGGGAGGCAGCAGUGGGGAAUUUUGGACAAAGGGCGCAAGCCUGAUCCAGCAAUGCCGCGUGCGGGAAGAAGGCCUUCGGGUUGUAAACCGCUUUUGGCAGGAACGAAACGGUGUCCGCUAAUACCGGGCGCUAAUGACGGUACCUGCAGAAUAAGCACCGGCUAACUACGUG
rnacentral:rRNA from 1 species